rnacentral:lncRNA from 10 species
CUCAGGGGUUCUUGCUCACUCCCAGGACCUGUUCACGCGUGUCCACAAUUUGGUCCCCCUUGUGCCUGAAAACCUUCCAGGAGGACGCUCGCCUUCCACUGUCCACAGCCCCCAGAUGUAGAAACUGAAACCCAGCUUGGGGACCGCCUUCCUGAGGACACAACGCUGGAGUGUGUGAUGUCACGCCAGCCUCAGGGGAGGGUGCCGGCAGUCUUGCCCGGGCCACCAGCAACAGUGGCUCUCGAGGAAGGACCCGGAAGUUGGCCCGCAAAGCUGGCCCCAACCCACUCUGAUCUGUGGUCCCCUCCAUGGUUGCAGGAAGAGUGGUCUCUUUUGUCUUGGCUUACGAUCGUCCAGUCGGGGUGAGAUACGUGUAAUUUGCGAUAUUUAUGCUUAUUUUGCUAUUUCAGUUUUGAUCAAUGAAAGGACAUCUUUGCCUAAGAACACAGUUUUUAUUACUAAGACAAUCACAGGUAACCCCCAGAGAAUUUAGUCUCAUAACUGUGACAAGGGAGAAAAGAAUAUAGUAUUCUCUUUCUCCUUUUGAAAAUAGUUCUACUGCCGGCCGCGGUGGCUCACGCCUGUAAUCCCAACACUUUGGGAGGCUGAGGUGGGUGGAUCACGUGAGGUCAGGAGCUCAAGACCAGCCUGGCCAACAUGAUGAAACCCCAUCUCUACCCAAAAUACAAAAAUUAGCUGGACGUGGUGCCACACGCCUGUAACCCCAGCUACCUGGGAGGCUGAGGAAGGAGAAUCACUUGAACCCAGGAGACGGAGGUUGCAGUGAGCCAAGAUCACGCCAUUGCACUGCAGCCUGGGUGACAGAACAAGACUACGUCUCAAAAAAAGAAAAAAGAAAGAAAAAAAAGAAAAUAGUUCUGCUGUGAAAAUGACUGUUUGCAUUACCAAGAAGAGAUUUCAAAGUUAUCUUAAAAUGUUCCUGUUCCCAAGAAGCAGUAUAUAGUAAUAAAGACAUAUAUUCACCAAGAAUAACAUGUCCAGAAAGACAAGUUCUUAAAAACAGAAUGAGUGACAGUGGGCACACCAUGAGACUUAGUCACCUCCAAGAAGGACCUGGGUAGGAAAGGAGGGGCUGGGAGGGAAACUGCACCCCUUCAUUCCCACCCCACCCCAGCAAUUCCAGGCACAAACAGUUGAGCUCUGAGACAGAUGAAAGCUUUUCAGUUCUCAGAAGUCCAAAGGGCUGACCCACUUUGCCGGUUUGCAUGGUUUGCCUGGAGUGGCAUUAAGGCCGGCUUCUUUACAGUGUGUCUGAAAUACAAU